CCUACGGGCGGCAGCAGUGAGGAAUAUUGGUCAAUGGGCGCGAGCCUGAACCAGCCAAGUAGCGUGAAGGAUGACUGCCCUACGGGUUGUAAACUUCUUUUAUAAAGGAAUAAAGUGAGGCACGUGUGCCUUUUUGUAUGUACUUUAUGAAUAAGGAUCGGCUAACUCCGUGCCAGCAGCCGCGGUAAUACGGAGGAUGCGAGCGUUAUCCGGAUUUAUUGGGUUUAAAGGGAGCGUAGAUGGGUUGUUAAGUCAGUUGUGAAAGUUUGCGGCUCAACCGUAAAAUUGCCAUUGAUACUGGCAGACUUGAGUACAGUUGAGGUAGGCGGAAUUCGUGGUGUAGCGGUGAAAUGCAUAGAUAUCACGAAGAACUCCGAUUGCGAAGGCAGCUUACUAAGCUGCAACUGACAUUGAUGCACGAAAGUGUGGGUAUCAAACAGGAUUAGAUACCCCUGUAGUC
rnacentral:rRNA from 1 species